rnacentral:rRNA from 1 species
GACAGAGGUCCCAAGCGUUGUUCGGAUUCACUGGGCGUAAAGGGUGCGCAGGUGGUCGGGUAAGUCUGACGUGAAAUCCCGCAGCUUAACUGCGGAAUGGCAUUGGAUACUAUGCGGCUAGAGGGUUGGAGGGGGGACUGGAAUUCUCGGUGUAGCAGUGAAAUGCGUAGAUAUCGAGAGGAACACCAGUGGCGAAGGCGAGUCCCUGGACAACUCCUGACGCUGAGGCACGAAAGCUAGGGGAGCAAACAGG